GACGAACGCUGGCGGCGUGCUUAACACAUGCAAGUCGAACGGAAAGGCCCUGCUUUUGUGGGGUGCUCGAGUGGCGAACGGGUGAGUAACACGUGAGUAACCUGCCCUUGACUUUGGGAUAACUUCAGGAAACUGGGGCUAAUACCGGAUAGGAGCUCCUGCUGCAUGGUGGGGGUUGGAACGUUUCGGCGGUUGGGGAUGGACUCGCGGCUUAUCAGCUUGUUGGUGGGGUAGUGGCUUACCAAGGCUUUGACGGGUAGCCGGCCUGAGAGGGUGACCGGCCACAUUGGGACUGAGAUACGGCCCAGACUCCUACGGGAGGCAGCAGUGGGGAAUAUUGCACAAUGGGCGGAAGCCUGAUGCAGCAACGCCGCGUGCGUGAUGACGGCCUUCGGGUUGUAAACCGCUUUCGCCUGUGACGAAGCGUGAGUGACGGUAAUGGGUAAAGAAGCACCGGCUAACUACGUG
rnacentral:rRNA from 1 species